GACGAACGCUGGCGGCGUGCCUAAUACAUGCAAGUAGAACGCACAGUUUAUACCGUAGCUUGCUACACCAUAGACUGUGAGUUGCGAACGGGUGAGUAACGCGUAGGUAACCUGCCUGGUAGCGGGGGAUAACUAUUGGAAACGAUAGCUAAUACCGCAUAAUAUUAAUUAUUGCAUGAUAAUUAAUUGAAAGGUGCAAUUGCACCACUACCAGAUGGACCUGCGUUGUAUUAGCUAGUAGGUGAGGUAACGGCUCACCUAGGCGACGAUACAUAGCCGACCUGAGAGGGUGAUCGGCCACACUGGGACUGAGACACGGCCCAGACUCCUACGGGAGGCAGCAGUAGGGAAUCUUCGUCAAUGGACGAAAGUCUGACCGAGCAACGCCGCGUGAGUGAAGAAGGUUUUCGGAUCGUAAAGCUCUGUUGUAAGAGAAGAACGGGUGUGAGAGUGGAAAGUUCACACUGUGACGGUAGCUUACCAGAAAGGGACGGCUAACUACGUG
rnacentral:rRNA from 1 species